AGUGAACGCUGGCGGUAGGCCUAACACAUGCAGGUCGAACGGCAGCACAGUAAGAGCUUGCUCUUACGGGUGGCGAGUGGCGGACGGGUGAGGAAUACAUCGGAAUCUACUUUUUCGUGGGGGAUAACGUAGGGAAACUUACGCUAAUACCGCAUACGACCUACGGGUGAAAGCAGGGGAUCUUCGGACCUUGCGCGAUUGAAUGAGCCGAUGUCGGAUUAGCUAGUUGGCGGGGUAAAGGCCCACCAAGGCGACGAUCCGUCGCUGGUCUGAGAGGAUGAUCAGCCACACUGGAACUGAGACACGGUCCAGACUCCUACGGGAGGCAGCAGUGGGGAAUAUUGGACAAUGGGCGCAAGCCUGAUCCAGCCAUACCGCGUGGGUGAAGAAGGCCUUCGGGUUGUAAAGCCCUUUUGUUGGGAAAGAAAAGCAGCAGGUUAAUACCCCGCUGUUCUGACGGUACCCAAAGAAUAAGCACCGGCUAACUUCGUG
rnacentral:rRNA from 1 species